GUACCAAACCCGGGGUCCUCGUUCCCACCCGGUGACGGCUGUUUCUGAUUAGCUUGGAGCCCACUGCCCUGACGAAGAAUGGGCGCCUCUUGGGGGCGCUGUGAAGGACGGAAAAAAAGAGAAUCCUUUGGGCAAAAAAGAAGGUACGAGACACGAGUUGCUUUCAUAAAUAGAGUGACAGCGAUGAAAAUACCUUCCAGCUGGGACCAAGCAGCCUCAGCUUUUCUAUGUGGUGGCUUCACUCACCGUUGAAGACCCAGCAAGGCGGAGGUCCUGAAUCCCGCCACUUCCCUCUCCUGCUUGGAUACCUACAGCGUUCUCCUAUAUUCAGUGCCUGUCUAAAGGCACUCCAGAACCCCGCAUGUCUGUUCUCCACACUGCAGCCAGACUGAUAUUUCCAAAG